GACUAAGGUUUCCAGAGGAAGGCUCGUCCGCUCUGGGUUAGUCGGGUCCUAAGCUGAGGCCGACAGGCGUAGGCGAUGGAUAACAGGUUGAUAUUCCUGUACCACCUAUAAUCGUUUUAAUCGAUGGGGGGACGCAGUAGGAUAGGCGAAGCGUGCGAUUGGAUUGCACGUCUAAGCAGUAAGGCUGAGUAUUAGGCAAAUCCGGUACUCGUUAAGGCUGAGC
rnacentral:rRNA from 1 species